rnacentral:rRNA from 1 species
GAUGAACGCUGGCGGCGUGCUUAACACAUGCAAGUCGAACGAACCUUCGGGUUAGUGGCGGACGGGUGAGUAACGCGUGAGAAUCUGCCCUCAGGAGGGGGAUAACGGUUGGAAACGACCGCUAAUACCCCAUAUGCCUAUUGGUGAAAUGAAUUUCGCCUGAGGAUGAGCUCGCGUCUGAUUAGCUAGUUGGUGAGGUAAUGGCUCACCAAGGCUUCGAUCAGUAGCUGGUCUGAGAGGAUGAUCAGCCACACUGGGACUGAGGACAGGCCCAGACUCCUACGGGAGGCAGCAGUGGGGAAUUUUCCGCAAUGGGCGAAAGCCUGACGGAGCAACGCCGCGUGAGGGACGAAGGCCUCUGGGCUGUAAACCUCUUUUCUCAAGGAAGAAGAUAUGACGGUACUUGAGGAAUAAGCCACGGCUAAUUCCGUGCCAGCAGCCGCGGUAAUACGGGAGUGGCAAGCGUUAUCCGGAAUUAUUGGGCGUAAAGCGUCCGCAGGCGGCCUUUCAAGUCUGCUGUUAAAGCGUGGAGCUUAACUCCAUCAUGGCAGUGGAAACUGAUCGGCUUGAGUAUGGUAGGGGCAGAGGGAAUUCCCGGUGUAGCGGUGAAAUGCGUAGAUAUCGGGAAGAACACCAGUGGCGAAGGCGCUCUGCUGGGCCAUUACUGACGCUCAUGGACGAAAGCCAGGGGAGCGAAAGGGAUUAGAUACCCCUGUAGUCCUGGCCGUAAACGAUGAACACUAGGUGUCGGGGGAAUCGACCCCUUCGGUGUCGUAGCUAACGCGUUAAGUGUUCCGCCUGGGGAGUACGCACGCAAGUGUG